rnacentral:rRNA from 1 species
AUUGAACGCUGGCGGCAGGCCUAACACGUGCAAGUCGAGCGGAUGAAGGGAGCUUGCUCCUGGAUUCAGCGGCGGACGGGUGAGUAAUGCCUAGGAAUCUGCCUGGUAGUGGGGGAUAACGUCCGGAAACGGGCGCUAAUACCGCAUACGUCCUGAGGGAGAAAGUGGGGGAUCUUCGGACCUCACGCUAUCAGAUGAGCCUAGGUCGGAUUAGCUAGUUGGUGGGGUAAAGGCCUACCAAGGCGACGAUCCGUAACUGGUCUGAGAGGAUGAUCAGUCACACUGGAACUGAGACACGGUCCAGACUCCUACGGGAGGCAGCAGUGGGGAAUAUUGGACAAUGGGCGAAAGCCUGAUCCAGCCAUGCCGCGUGUGUGAAGAAGGUCUUCGGAUUGUAAAGCACUUUAAGUUGGGAGGAAGGGCAGUAAGUUAAUACCCUGCUGUUUUGACGUUACCAACAGAAUAAGCACCGGCUAACUUCGUG